AUGAAACACUCCUACGGGAGGCAGCAGUUAGGAAUAUUGUUCAAUGGACGGAAGUCUGAACCAGCCAAGUAGCGUGCAGGAUGACGGCCCUCCGGGUUGUAAACUGCUUUAGUUCGGGAAUAACGACGGGGACGUGUCCCUGGAAAGAAUGUACCGAAAGAAUAAGGACCGGCUAAUUCCGUGCCAGCAGCCGCGGUAAUACGGAAGGUCCAGGCGUUAUCCGGAUUUAUUGGGUUUAAAGGGAGCGUAGGCGGACUGUAAAGUCAGCGGUUAAAGAGUGUGGCUCAACCAUACGAUGCCGUUGAAACUGGUGGUCUUGAGUGCACACAGGGAUGCUGGAACUCGUGGUGUAGCGGUGAAAUGCUUAGAUAUCACGAUGAACUCCGAUCGCGAAGGCAGGUGUCCGGGGUGUAACUGACGCUGAGGCUCGAAAGUGUGGGUAUCAAACAGGAUUAGAAACCCUAGUAGUCCGAAGUUC
rnacentral:rRNA from 1 species